AACGAGGCCGACCUGCGGCUGAGUUACCUGCGGAAGGAUCAUUACCGAGUUAGGGUGUCUGUUCGCAGCGCCCAACCUCCCAACCCUUUGUCUAUGAUACCUAAACAGUUGCUUCGGCGUGCCGAGGGGUCGUACCCUCGCCGGGCCUCACGGCCGGGAGCGCGCACGUCGACGGCCUUUAUCUAACACUUGAACCCAAAACCUGUCGUCUGAAAACUUGUGAUUAACCAAUAAUCAAAA
rnacentral:misc_RNA from 1 species